GCCAGAAGAUCCUUCCCCUUCCUGCUCUAUUAUUGAGCAGAUCACAUCUGCCAUCUGCCAUCGCCCAUCACCUCUUUUCAAUACCUCUCUAUCGAGCUGCGCUUUUCAUCACCACCCACGCCAAAGCUCGCCAUCAUCGUCUGGUUCCCCGACCGACAGCCCGCCUUCCUCCUGAAUCCAACUCCCUGCUGCUUCAUCUCAAUUCUCAAUAGUGCGCGGUCAGGUUCAUUUGCAGAUGUGAUCUGCAGAUGGCUGAUCCCGUCGGUCAGAGGUUGGAUCUCUCCGUCUCUGAGCCACCGACGUGAGUGUUUAGCUCAAUCUGAGCUGUUCCUCCAGAAUUAUCACAACCUUCGCCUGGCCCUCACUCCAUAAGGUGGUUGCUCUGGGAAGUGGAGUUCAUUGUCUGACCAUCAUCAUCCACUGAUCCACAAUUGCACAUAGGAGAGAGUGAGGUAUUAGGUUCAAAAACACACAUACAUGAGAGUGAGAGAUCAAGAAGUAGCUUGGAGAGGUGAAAAUUUCUCGCUAGAAACCAAUAAUCAUGGCGGAGUUCGCCAUAGGGGCGCUGGGCACACUCAUCCCCAAACUUGCCAAGCUACUGAAAAAGGAGUACGAUCUGAAGAAGAGUGUGAAGGGUGGAAUCAGGUUCCUGAAGGCCGAGCUCGAGAGCAUGCAGGCUGCCCUUGAGAAGGUGUCCGGCGUACCGGCAGAUCAGCUUGAUGAGAACACAAGACUUUGGGCCAGGGAUGUCCGGGAGCUGUCCUACGACAUUGAGGACAGUAUUGACAGCUACCUGGUGCUUGUGGAGAGCAAGAAGGCAGGAAAACAGCAUAACAUCAAAGUGUGGGUCGACAGAACCGUCAACUCGCUGUAUAAUAUCAGAAGACGUCACAAUAUGGCCGCCAAGGUAAAGGACUUUGAGUCCCUUGUCAAGGAGGCAAAGGAAAGGUACGACAGGAACAAAGUUGAUUGUGUUGUUGCUAGUCGUACCACUGAGUAUGUUGAUCCACGGCUAGAAGCUAUGUACAAAAGGAUGACCGACCUUGUUGGUAUCGAUGAGCCGAUGAGUAAACUAAGAGACAUGUUGAAAUUGGAGUCCACGAAAAGCCUCAAGAGUGUCUCUGUUGUUGGAGCUGGGGGAUUAGGCAAGACAACCUUAGUGAAAGCUGUGUAUGAUGAUACACUCGAAGUGGGAUUCCAAUGUCGUGCCUUCGUUUCGGUGGGCCAGAAUCCUGAUGUGAAGAAAGUUCUCAAUGACAUUCUCCUUGAGCUUGACAAGGAGAAGUUCAGGGACAUUCAUAGCUUAACAAGGGAUGUAAAGCAGCUUAUCGACUUACUCCGGGAAUUCCUUGGCAACAAGAGAUACUUUGUCGUUAUUGAUGACAUAUGGGAUACACAAUCCUGGCAAAUAAUCAAAAUGGCUCUUGUUGAUAAUAAUCGUGGAAGUAGAUUAAUCACAACUACUCGUAAUUUUGAAGUUGGAAAAGAAGCUGGCGUUGUUUACAACCUAGAGCCACUUUCUUCUUUUCAUUCGAGGCAAUUGUUGUGCACGAGGAUACUUGAUAGUGGAAUAAAUUGUUUGGAUAAUCUGCCAUACGAUCAGUUAACUGAUAAAAUUUUGAAGAAAUGUGGUGGCAUACCAUUAGCUAUCAUUACAAUGGCUAGUUUAUUGGCUGAUAAGCCAAGAGAGGAAUGGUUUGAAGUGUACAGUUCUAUAAGUCUCAGCCGACAAGGUAAUAAUCAGGUGGAAACUACUAUGAAGAUAUUGUCUUUGAGCUACUACGAUAUGCCUUCUCAUUUACGGACAUGCUUAUUAUAUCUAAGCAUAUUUCCAGAAGAUUAUGUUAUCAAGAAAGAGUCUUUGAUAUGGAUGUGGAUAGCUGAAGGUUUUGUCCAUGGGCAACAAGGAGUUGGGAUAUUUGAGGUUGGAGAGAGAUACUUCAAUGCACUCAUUAACAGAAGCAUGAUCCAACAAUGGGGUUACAUUGAUGAUGCAUCUACUGGUUGCCGUCUCCAUGAUAUGGUGCUCGAACUAAUCCGUUCUUUAUCUUGUGAAGUAAACUUUGUUACAAUACUGGAUAAUGAGCAAGGCACAUCAGCACAUAGAAAUAUCCGUAGGUUAUCCCAUCAGAAUAUGAGAAUAGAGUACAUGACUACUGAGGAUGCAGUGGAUAUGAAAAAGAUUAGGUCCUUUAUUGCCAUUUCAUGUACUAUUUCUGAGAUCAUACCAUUUUCAUGCUUUCAUGUUUUACGUGUAUUAGCCUUGGAAGAUUCUGAAGCCCAGAACAAUCAUAUAAAACAUUUGGGAGCACUACUCCAAUUGAGAUACCUCAUGUUAUCUGGCAUGAAACUUUCCGAGCUCCCAGAAGGAAUAGGAGAUCUAAAGUUUUUACAGACACUUGACUUGGGAAAAACAAGAGUUAGAAAAUUGCCAUCAACCAUCAGCAACCUGACUCAACUAUUGUGCCUACGUGGCCGUUGUAGCAUGGAUGCAGGCGGGGCCGUCAUCGGAAAGCUGACGUCACUUCAGGAGCUGCGCAUGCGGGUAGAUUUGGGGAACCUUGAAUCAGGAUACAUGCUGUUUUGUGAGGGGCUGGGCAACUUGAGGGAACUGAGGGUGCUCAAGGUUGAAUUUAAAGGGCUGGAUAGCGAGCAGGAAGUUUUAGGGGACUCACUACGUAAUAUGUGCAAGCUGCAGUACCUUGAAGUUCAUGAACAUCAUUCCUGGCGAUCCAUUAAGGUUGAACAGGUGUCCAGAUGGAAUGCUCCAGGUGCAGUCCUCUCUCGACACAUCCGAGUUUUGUUAUUGGCUGACUACAGAUUCUCCAUUCUGCCAACGUGCAUCGACUCUUCUCUUCUUCCAAAUCUCUCGGAUUUGUCUAUGUCUGUCGACUUUGUAAGUUGUCAGGACAUGAGGAUCAUUGGGAAGUUUCCAGAGCUCUGCCGCCUCACAGUGGACACGUCAUUGAGAACGAAGUUGUUAGUUGUUUAUGGAGGUGAUGGAUACUUCCGCAGGUUGAAGUCAUUCAAAUUGAAUUGGAGUUUUCUUGUCAUGUUUAGAGGGCGCAAACUUGGUGCUCCUGUUAUGCCAAUCCUUGAAAAUCUUAAAUUCACUCUUUGUGACAGCCUUUUGGAGGAAUUAUGUGCUCUUUAUUGUCAGAAUAUAUCAUGGUUAUUAUCAAUGAUUGGAUGGAACUACCUUCCUUUAUUGAAGCUUGUAGACUACAGCACUUCUAACAGUGGUCCUGGAGGAAGAGAGUUACCGGUGCUUAGCCACGCAGCCCGCUCUCAUCCGAACCGUCCCACCGCUCGAACUGGGGGACACGUGCAGAGAGAGGAGGUUUCCCACGAAGUCCUUUAUUUGCCUGUCCAUGUAUGGAUGUUCAGGGAGACCAGUGUUCGUUUUGAUUUUACAAAAUUGGCUUCACUUGAGAAAGUCACCGCUCAUAUCUACUGUUUAUAUGCUACACCACGGGAGGUUUUGCGAGUGGAAGCGGCGCUGAGGCGCGCUGUCGAUGUCCAUCCCAAUAAUGUCUUCCUUGAAAUGACAAGGUUUGGUGAAGAAGAAAUGGAUGUACCAUUUACAGGAGAAGAGGAGGAGUCCCAUGAUGCCACCACACAAAACAAGGAUAUUUGCCACCACACAAAUCAAUCACCGACGGAGAGGAUCUCUGACCGUCAAACACACUCUUGAUUCAAGCAAAUGCUUAGCUUCCUGCAACAUGCAGGUUGGCUCUACAUAGGGCAUGCAGCCAUGACGCUGGCUAGAGGAUCUAAUAGUUAUUUGUUGAUGUGGAGCUUAAUUCUCCAUUCCCACAAAAAACAUAAAAAGUUAAAAAAGUUAAAGUAAAAAUUAAAAAAAAUUGUUGCUACAUGAGGGGUGUAUUCCGCUAGAUACUUGUCAUAUAAAAAAGCAAAAAAAAUGAAAAUUUAAAAAUAAUGACGACACUUUGAUGUGUUUAUUAUCAAAUUGCUUAAUUUCACUUAAGACCAAAGUAACUUUCAUCGGUUUGCAGAAUGAUUAUUGUAAAAUUAUAUAGUUCCAAAAAACUAAAAAAGAAAAAAUAAUAAUUUACUUACCAGGUGGUCAGAACAUUUUAGAUUAGCAUUACAAGAAAAACUAAAAAUAUGUAAUUUUGUUCAUAUCAAGAAAAAAAAUGAUAAAAAAAUUAAUAAACUAAAAUCCCAUGAAAAUAUUUUUCUAUGUUUGUUAUCUUUUUAUUUGUAUGUGUCCUUAAUGCGUGUGUUGGGAGGGGGGGUGGAACUCCGCCUGUGCCUUUUAAUGGCAUAGCCGGUCCCAAGCCCGGGAAAAAGGAGGGGCCCACCAAAAAUAUAUGGUCAUUUUCAUAUGCAUCAUUAUAUUAAUACAUAUUCAAUAUAGGCUUCAUCAUUAUAAAUAGUAACCCACCUGCACAUCAUCCACUGAGAUUGAUUAUAUAAUCAGUGCCAAAAUAAAAUCAUGGAGGUGUGUAGAGAUAUCGAAGCCAGAAGUGCAAUGCCCAAAUAUCUCAAGCUUGAAGUGGAAAGAUUUGAUGAAGAUGUGAAAUAGACCAUGCACAACAAGAACAACAAUUAGUGCAUUGGCGCUCUCUUUCUUCCUUCUGAAAGUUCAAUACGCGCUUCUAGUUUUCUUAUUUUGAUUUAACUAGAAUGAUGUUUGCGUACUUUUGCAGGUUGUAUAUGUACUGGUUUCAACAAAAUUUAUCCCCUAGUUUAUGGUGAUUUUACAGAACUAUUUAUUCAAGUAUUAUAUCUAGUAUAUAUGGCUCGAGCAAUGUAAUUAAUGCAUUUCAUACAGUAAUGUGAUAAUUAGCCCCUUCGAUUUAACCAUCGUUUUUAAAGCGUCGCCUUGGCGUCCAGCGGUAAAAAAUUUGGGGCGUCAGGGUCGCAUAACGAUGCACGCGUAUGGCGUCCAUCUUGACGAGGUAGGCGUCCACCUUGCCGAGAUAGGCAUCCGAGUGUCGCCCAGGAGGCUGGAUCAGACGCUUCGCUCGCAGAAACCGAAGGGCGGAUGCUGCCCAGCACCAAUCUUUCCCGCGUGGAAAGAAUAGAGUUCCCGCGCGAAAGAAUCGAGUUCACACGCGUGUUACUUGCCGCCAUCCACCUACCGCGCGGGAACAAAUCGAGACAACAAGAGAUAGGGAAGAGGGAUUGACAGAAGAAACAAACCUUCCCCUUCCCGCGCAGCCCAACCCUUCCGGCACGCGGCGAGUCCCGGCGGCGGCGCGGCGCAAUCUCGCACGCGCGGCCCUACCGGCGGAGCCGCAUGUCCAUGCGCGGUGCUCUGCUUUCCUUACGGCGGCGUAUCUCCGUCGAUUGGAGCGAGCUUGUCCUCCCUCUGCUCCCACCAGCCGCCAGGAGGCCUGCCUGCUUCUGUUCCGUCCGCCUGCUCCACCUUCCCUGCCUCGAGCUCUUGAAUCUGCUGGCCUGCGGCUCUGACCUGCCUCCCGCUUGGUCAUGACCAAGACAAGGAAUGGCUGCUACUGAGAGUCCAGCUUCUGCCAAUGGUGAAUAUGAUCCCACUACUGAUAAAGCUAGGAAGGCAUAGUCAGAUGACCCAGACUGGAAAUAUAGUUAUUGGGCAAACCUUUCAAACCGAAAUGAGGUGACAUGCAUUCUUUGUGGCAUCCCACUGAAGGGAGGGAUCAAAAGGCUGAAGCAGCAUCUUGCAGGUGGCUAUGGUGAUGCCAAAUCGUGUUAGCGUAAGAAUCUAACUAUUGCAGUCAGAAAGGAAAUGAGAGAUUACUUGGAGCGGAACAAGAGAAAGAGAUCAUUGUUCCAAGAUGAAGAAGAUAACCAAUAAAAGUGGUGGAGGUGGUAGAUGUGGAGGCUGAAGCCUCAGCUAUCCAUCAUCCAAGUUCAGGGACAGCAACUAAACAAAGGCAUUCAACCAAUCAAUUCACAAAGGCAGCACCAAAGUCAGCGAACAAGUCAGUUGUUGAGAUGCUUCGAAAGAUGCCCGAAGAGGUGGUUGAAGAAAGGUACUCAGGUAGCCAUCAGCCCACAAUAGAGGCGAGCCUAAAGCCCAAGGAGGAAAAGGAUUAUGUUGAUAUGCAGUGGGCCUUAUGGUUUUAUGACUGUGGCAUAUCAUUUAGUGCAGCAGCAGCAAAUCAAUUUCAGAUUGUAGUUGAGGCCAGUAUACAGUAUGGUUCGGGUUACAUACCUCCUACACCCUACAAGCUUGGUGAGCCAUUGCUUAAGGAGGCUGUGAAGCUGACAAGUACCUCGAGGGGGUCCAUGAGAGAGCCUGGAAUCAUUAUGGAUGUACUUUAAUGUCUGAUGGAUGGACUGAUAGGAGGGAAAGACAUCUAAUCAACUUCCUUGUGAACAGCCCAUAGGGUACUUAUUUCCUAGUCUGUUGAUGCAUCAGAUGAGGCGCAUGAUGCUAAUAUGCUUGCUGGUUUGUUGGACGAGAGGAUCAUAAAAUUGGACAAGACAAUAUCAUUCAAGUUCUCACGGAUAAUGGAGCGAACUACAAGGCAGCAUGUAGACUUCUAAUGGAAAAGAUUCCUACAAUGUAUUGGACUCCAUGGGCUGCACAUUGCUUGGACCUGAUGUUGGAAUACAAAGAAAAAUUGCAAGCAUUCAAGAAACCUAUUGCACGUGCAAGACGUGUCACAACUUUCAUAUAUAGGCAUGCAAGAAUUCUUAGUGUUAUGAGGGAGAAGACUAAUGGUGAUCUUGUUAGACCAGCAGCCACUCGGUUUGCCACAUCUUUCCUUACUUUCAAGAGUUUGCAUAGCCACAAGGAUCCUUAGAAGUCUUUAUUUGUUAGUGAGGCAUGGACAGGGAACAAAUUGGCAAAAACUAGGGCUAGUCAGCAUGUGCAUGACAUUGUGCUAUCUACAGAGUUUUGGAAUUCAGUUGAGGACUGCCUUAGAGCUUCAGUACCACUCUUGAUUUUUCUUAGGGUGGUUGAUGGUGAUGAAAAACCUGCAAUGCCAGAAGUUGCAGCACUAAUGAAGCAUGCAAAGGAGAAGAUCAAGCUAAGCUUUCCUAUCCAAAGCAAGAGAUCUUUACUUAGUAAGAUAAUGGACAUCAUUGACCGUCGUUGGGAGAACCAAAUGUACCAUCCAUUAUAUGGUGCUGCACUUUUUUUAAAUCCAGGGAAAUUCCAUCCCCUGGUAGCAGCGAAUGCUGCUGCUGUUGGAGACCUAAAGGGUUCCUUCCUUGAUGUCCUAGGAAGAAUGGUGGAGGAUGAGGAAACUAGAAAAAAGAUUGAUGCUCAAGCCAAUGACUAUGAAAAGCUUAGGGGACCUGCCUUUCAAAUAAAAUGGCUAUACAAGUCAAUGAACCCUAUUGACUGGUGGUGCUCAUAUGGUGGACGUGCCAUAGAGUUACAAAGAUUUGCUAGGCGUAUUGUUAGCCUUUGUGCAUCAUCAUUGGGCUGUGAGCGGAAUUAGAGUACUUUUGAGUUUGGAAGUUCUAUUUUAAUAAGAUAAUCAUUGGAAAACAAAAUCUGCUGAUGUAUGAAAGUUAUUCAUUUGUAUUUUUGUUUGUUAUUUUUCAAUUUUGUAGAUCCACACAAAGAAAAGGAAUCAACUACUGCAUAAUUGAUUGAAUGAUAUUGUGUUUAUUUCCUACAACUGGAAAAUGAAAAGUAGGUUCCAACUGAGGCGACAGAAAAAGAGGAAAAGCUUUGAUCCUUUGGUGCUUGAGAAUUUUGAUUUGGACAAUGAGUGGGCUGACUCCUCGCAUGUGCCCACUCAAGGUGGUCGUGGGUGUGAUUGUGACCUAGACCAUACAUGGCAGCAAGUGGAUGAAGCUGUUGGUGCAUCACACGCACUUCAAGGCCAAAA